rnacentral:rRNA from 2 species
CUUGGUCAUUUAGAGGAAGUAAAAGUCGUAACAAGGUUUCCGUAGGUGAACCUGCGGAAGGAUCAUUCAUAAUAAGUGUUUUAUGGCACUUUUUAAAUCCAUAUCCACCUUGUGUGCAAUGUCAGUCGAUCUUCUUCAUGGAGAUCGACCAAACAUCAACCUUUAUUUUUUAACUCUUUGUCUGAAAAAUAUUAUGAAUAAACAAUUCAAAAUACAACUUUCAACAACGGAUCUCUUGGCUCUCGCAUCGAUGAAGAACGCAGCGAAAUGCGAUACGUAAUGUGAAUUGCAGAAUUCAGUGAAUCAUCGAAUCUUUGAACGCAUAUUGCGCUCUUUGGUAUUCCGAAGAGCAUGCUUGUUUGAGUAUCAGUAAACACCUCAAAGCUUUUGGAUUUUUUAAUCGAAAAGCUUUGGACUUGAGCAAUCCCAACACCAAUCUUUUUGAGAUCGGUGGCGGGUUGCUUGAAAUGCAGGUGCAGCUGGACAUUCUCCUGAGCUAAAAGCAUAUUCAUUUAGUCCCGUCAAACGGAUUAUUACUUUUGCUGCAGCUAACAUAAAGGGAGUUUGACCGUAUUGGCUGACUGAUGCAGGAUUUCACAAGGGUCGGCAACGAUUCUUGUUAAACUCGAUCUCAAAUCAAGUAAGACUACCCGCUGAACUUAAGCAUAUCAAUAAGCGGAGGA